UCUCCUUUUGGGUUCUCCGGCAGAAGGCAGACAUUUACAGUCCGCUUCCAGCCCCAGGCCGGAUCCGGGGAGCGCGGGGCCAGAGCCCCAGGCCGGAUCCGGGGAGCGCGGGGCCAGCCUGGCGGUGGUUUUGCCCGAGGAGCGGGCUCCCACGCGCGAGUCAGGCUUCCUCCACCAGGCGCCCAGACCUCGAUGCCCAUGAACGCUCAGACCCGGCGCAGGCCACGCGAGACGCCGAAGCCAGCAGGUCCCCACACUCUCCGGCUAGACCGUGCCAGCCUGAGCCCCGAGCAAGCUUCGGAGAGGAACAAUGGGUGCCCCGCGUCCCACCUGGCACGAACUCUGGGGACAGCCCUCCCUCUACCCUGUGUUCCCCACCCCCGGACAGAGAGAGCUCCCCACGAUCCUUGUCCCCAGCCCUAGCGGGGACCUGGCUCACCCCUCGUGAGCCCAGGACUCCAGGCGUUCGUCGGGGACGCCCCCCGGCC
rnacentral:lncRNA from 1 species